GCCCGGUUAGCUCAAUCGGUAGAGCGUGAGACUCUUAACAGAACCCACACAUCUCAAGGUUGCGGGUUCGACCCCCGCAUCGGGCU